AUGGGUAUCAUUGGUGAACUAAUGUGCUUGAAACUUCUGAAAGCUUUGAGAUACUAAAGAUUUAGGACAAUGAAGUUUCUUCCGUUCUGUCUCGUUUUCGCUUUUCUACUGAUGACGUCAACGGUACUCGGAGAGUCCGAGACUUUGAGAGAAACGGACAAAACGAGGCAUUAUACCAGCAGAGUAUACAAACUCUAUCAUACUUACUUGAAAGAUGUUGCUAGCAAGAAUCGAUUCCAGAAAUAUCAAUCGAAGCCGGUAAUAAAAGAACACGAGCAGCCAUUGUUCUAGAUUUUCAAGCUGCAAGUUGCGUUGAAACGAUUUCAAGUUAUUUUCUUGUGGCCAAUAUAUGUGCAAAAUUAUAUUGUUGUGUAUAGUAUAUUAAAUCAAUACAGCUGUGUUGCACAAUACAC
rnacentral:sRNA from 1 species